UACAGAGGUCUCAAGCGUUGUCCGGAUUUACUGGGCGUAAAGAGCGCGCAGGCGGUCGUACAAGUCGCGUGUGAAAGCCCCCGGCUCAACUGGGGAGGGUCACGCGAUACUGUUCGACUCGAAGGCAGGAGAGGGUAGUGGAAUUCCCGGUGUAGUGGUGAAAUGCGUAGAUAUCGGGAGGAACACCAGUGGCGAAGGCGACUACCUGGCCUGUUCUUGACGCUGAGGCGCGAAAGCUAGGGGAGCAAACGGG
rnacentral:rRNA from 1 species